UGAUGUAAUUCAAUUUACCAUAAGUUUUGGGUUGAGUAGUGAUUUAAUGUCAUAUAGUUUCAUUUUUAUACAAAUGGAAGAUCGCAGUGUGGCUUCGGUUCUCUUCCCCCAUCUCUCGAAAUAUCGUUUUCAGUAAGAACAACCUUGGAUUUUCUUAUAUAUGUGCCGUAUUAUGGAGACUGAAGGUACAGAUGUUUGCAUGGAUAAAGAGCCAGAUCGUGUUAUAACGUAUUCCUCUAGAGGUGGUUCCCAUGCUUCAUCUUGUGAGGAUAGCCUCAGUCAUCAGGAUGUCAUGGAGUCAUUUGGCGAAAUAAAUGGGGAUCACGAUAUCAACAAUUCAGAAGAGGGAAGUGAAUCAAAGGAAUAUGAAGUGAAGGAAUGUACAAAUGAAAAAUCAAUCAAGAUUCCUGAAAUGCACCCUUCAAAGAAACCAGGCCAACAGCAAAAUGUGGUACAAGAAGGAAAGAACGAUGACAAAUUACUGUUAACUGUGAACUCAUUGAAAUCUUCUGCUGGAAAUGUUCGUUCAAGACAUACUGUCCCACAGCCAUUUGCCUUGGCAACGGAAAAGCGUGCUUCAUCGGGUACUCGACUUCCCAGCGCUAUCACCACUGAAAAAUCUACCAAAAACAAUAUUCAGCCUUCAAAGACCAAAUCAAAUCAGCCCACAUCUCCUAGGGUGUUGAGGAAGCCACUGCAACCUAAUAACAAGAAGCAUGCUGAUGAGGAGGAUUCCUGCUCUGCUGUUUCCGUUAGCAGUGCAGCAUCAACUCGGGCUAUCAAGACCAGAAUUACUGUUGCAUCAGUUCCUGCAUUGAGGUGCACAGAGCGUGCAGAGAAAAGGAAGGAGUUUAACUCGAAAUUGGAGGAAAAACUCCAGGCUCUGGUGGCUGAGAAGACUGAGUGUGAGACGAAGUCCAAGGAAGAGACUGAGGCCGCUAUCAAACAACUAAGAAAGAGUUUAUUAUUCAAAGCAAAUCCAAUGCCAAGCUUCUACCACGAUGGGCCUCCUGCCAAGGCUGAGCUGAAAAAGCUCCCACCAACUCGUGCAAGGUCACCUAAACUUGGCCGACGUAAGAGUUGCAACAAUGCGGUUCUAUCCAAUGGAAACAAGAUAAAAGUCAAUCGUGGCAAGGGAAAUGGCCAUCGUACCAACAGUUCCAACAGAGAUACUAUUGCAUUGGAUGUCACCGAGAAUCGGAGCAAUGUCGUUCGCUUUGUAGAAAACGAGCUGAAGCAAGGAGAAGCCUUUUGCGAGGUGAUUUCUAUUGAUGUAAAUGGUCCUACGAAUGUUUCUGUCCUGUCUUAAGUUGGUGACGAACUUCCAAGUCUCUUCGACCAUGCUUUACGUCUACCAUUUUCAAGAGUUCGUUGCAGUGGUUUGUGUAAUUUAUGAAAUGUAAAUUUCUGUAAUUUAUAUUGUUUGUUUAUGUGGAAGCUUUUUACUUCCAGAUCAAAUAAUUAUCUUCUAAGGGCCCUCCCCCUGACAGAAAAAAAGGAAAGCAGAAAGAAGCAGAUCUACUAAGAUGUGGUUCGAGCUAUUGUUUUCUUUGUUACUUUUAAAGGACUAUUGCUCGUCGGUUAUUCACGUGCACGGUUGAGGAGGCAAAACAAGGGAACUUCUUCAGAUGCAAAACAUGAAACAAACUCGAAAAACCAGUGCCCUCACGGAUGUUCUUCUCCAGGCAUGAGGAGAAAUCUUUGGUCUAAAAUCUCAACUCCCAACCGUCUCGUGCGACACAUCCAGCUCGUGAGUUGCUUGGCGCCCUUUUCUAAGGUAAAAGAGAUCCUUUUACCCUUUGCUUCUUCUAUGACAUAUAACAUGUUUAAUAUCUUGGAUAUCCAUCAAGAGAUUUGAAUCUCUCUCAAGAUUUGCUACUAGUUAAGUUGAAGGCGUCUGUCGUUUCCACUAGUAUAGAGGACUUGCACCGAUUUGACAUACAAACUCGAUGUCUUUCCUUACAGCUAAAGCUUGUAUAGUUGCCAAAAGAAGAGGGGCUCCAUAAAUAAGAAAGAUUUAGCUGGCCAUAUUCCUUGGCUCUUGGGUAUUUUAGCCUUCCAAA